ensembl:lncRNA
GAGAAAACCCACUAACCUACCGCAGACCCAGACCUAGUACUGAAGGGAAAUUCAAACUGAGUGGAAGUACUUAGGCGGGCAGAGCCAGGCUACAACAACGGCAUCUUAAGAACAAUUCAAUUUCCAAUCCAAAAUCCAACGCAACCUAUUUAUUGCAUAGUGAAAGUAGGUCUUUAUAAGUGUCAGACAGUUGAGCCAAGCCCUCUUAAGCUUUCUUUAACUGUUGUUCAGAUGACAAACCAAUAUCAAGUAAGAAAAACAGACAAAUCUAUAAAGCCUCACUACUAGGUGGUUAGCCGUCUUCGUCAAAGAGAUUGCUGCACAUCCCCUUAAUGGACUACAUUGUAUACGCUGGUCUCCUAGCAACUAGGCAGUUAGUCUGCCCCGAGUACGGUAGUAGACCCUACUCUCUUGAAACGAAAUCCUAGGCAGCACUGUAAAAUGUUUUAAUACAUUACUGAUAUUAGAUCAGAUUUAACGGCCGACCGGUGACCCUUGAAAGCGCUACCGUCUCUCAGCAGAUUGCCUGAAUGUUAAACCUGAACAUUACACUACUUUUUAUUAAGGUUCUAUAAUGCAUAAGUUGCCUUGUAAUAAAUCACAUCAGCAGAAUAUCAAUGCUACUCUGCAAUUUUUUCGGAAUACGUGUGACUCAUUAGUAUUGAGUGCUUCUCUUAUAUAGUUUCACGGUAAGGCCUCUCGAUGUGAACCAGAACCAGAUAGAACUUGGUAGAACUCGGUGGUCCAUGAGUAUGUGUAUGCUCCAACUGGUUGUCAGGGGAUACGGUUAGGUUCCCCUCACCCUUUUGAUCACACACCUUCUCGUGGCCCACCUAGUGGAGACGCAGGCUUCUUCGUCUGCUACCUUUUACUCCCGUGGGUUUUUGCAUGAAUGAGGUCUUUCCACUAUGGCCCACAAUUACUUGUUCAAAUAAAUAUUUUAAAAAGGGGACUGAAAAUAACUCAACGGUCAUUUGUUGGACUGUCUAUAGCCACCUAGUGUUGAACCCGAGGCCAAGAGUUACAGAUGGUGUUUCGGCUGAUUCUAAUAGUUCUAGAGCAAAUUAGGUUUUAUACUAUCAGUAAUGACAGGGGUGUAUAUUUAAAGUGGGUGCUCAUCCUGAAGUGGUGAAAUUACUAGGUUCAAAAGGGAAUGUUGCUUUUGAACACCGCUUUCAUACUGCUGUUCAACUAUCUGUGUUUAUGCACGUGUAUAAUAUAUCAUACACAUGAUGUAUAUUAUAUUCUACACAGUGACUGAUCUCUUGAACAGAUCUUUUCACUGCCUGUGUGUCUAGGUACCUUUGUUUAAAUCGGGUCAGCUUCAUAUGUUCUGAUAAAUUCUUUCAUUAACUACUGAAGCAAAGUUUCUUACAAAGAAUAAAGCUGUAUUUCCAUGUCGA